GCCCUCUUCAAAAGACUGCUAAUGUGCUGCUUCUCAGUCACUGCAUGUUCCCACUGGCUCUUGUUUUGUUUCUCUACUGCUGGAAAAUGAGAGGUUUCAGUGGAAGAUGAAAAAUUAUCCUUUAUUUUGUUUCUGUGUUUGAAUACCUUCCACUUCUCUGUAAAUUGAAGGGUGUAUUUUUGUACUCCAUUUAAUGCUUGGCUAACAGAACCAGAGAAUCAAAAAUUAGUCAAGGGCCCAGGAAGACUGAUGAAGCUUGAUGUGAGGCAUCUCCAAACUGUUUCACUCCUCAUGAAAACCAGGGUUCACCCCAAACCCAGGUGCAACAUAAAUAUAAGCAAGAACAGACUGAGCGGACGGUGGAGUGAGGACCAGCUGGGUUCAUCGCCCUGAGAGGUAGGUGCAGCCCUGGGCCCAGGCAAGAAGGUCCUGGUGAUGCCUGAUGGCCAUGGUGCAGCCACACGGACCAGACAGAGGGCUUCACACAGACAACAGAUGCUUGGUAAAUAAAUAUACACUGAAGGAAAAAGGAAAAAGUGAAUGAAGGAAAGACCUGAGCACAUGGCAGAACAUGUUCUCCCCCUGCCCCCAGGCUCCGGUUGGCAGAAGAUUUUAUCCCCUUACACAUGGAGUAUAUGUUUAUCCUGGCAAGAUACUGGACAAU